rnacentral:rRNA from 1 species
GAUGAGCGCUGGCGGCGUGCCUAAUACAUGCAAGUCGAGCGAACAGACGAGGAGCUUGCUCCUCUGACGUUAGCGGCGGACGGGUGAGUAACACGUGGAUACCUUCCUAUAAGACUGGGAUAACUUCGGGAAACCGGAGCUAAUACCGGAUAAUAUAUUUAACCGCAUGGUUCAAUAGUGAAAGACGGUUUUGCUGUCACUUAUAGAUGGAUCCGCGCCGCAUUAGCUAGUUGGUAAGGUAACGGCUUACCAAGGCAACGAUGCGUAGCCGACCUGAGAGGGUGAUCGGCCACACUGGAACUGAGACACGGUCCAGACUCCUACGGGAGGCAGCAGUAGGGAAUCUUCCGCAAUGGGCGAAAGCUUGACGGAGCAACGCCGCGUGAGUGAUGAAGGUCUUCGGAUCGUAAAACUCUGUUAUUAGGGAAGAACAAAUGUGUAAGUAACUAUGCACGUCUUGACGGUACCUAAUCAGAAAGCCACGGCUAACUACGUG